UGCAUAUAAUAGGUGAUUGAAGCAAGUGCUCCUGGUUCAAUACAGCAGCUGAUUGUAGAUAAAAUAUCUAGCACAAGAAUUCAAUUCCGGAUAGUUUCUCCUCGAUACACAGGAGGAGUCCCGAUUGAUUACUAUGUAGCUGAAUAUAAGGAGUACAGGU